ACAUGGCCAAAAUAGUGUCUAUAGAUAUCAAGCAUUCAUUAGAUGUUGAAAUCAUUGUGUAAGAUGAGUUUGGUUAACCAAAUGGAAUAGCUAGUUUAAAACAUAGUCUACCAUGCAAUUUCGGUUAACUUUAAUUUAUUUUUACUAAGUAAAGGUUCAAAUCAUAAGAUACUUUUAUUUUUGCAAUUAAUUUUAAAGAUUAUCAUAAAUCUAGAUUAUUGUGAAAAUAGUG
rnacentral:lncRNA from 1 species